UACAGAGGGGGCAAGCGUUGUUCGGAAUUACUGGGCGUAAAGGGCGCGUAGGCGGCCUGUUAAGUCGAACGUGAAAUCCCCGGGCUCAACCCGGGAACUGCGUCCGAUACUGGCAGGCUUGAAUCCGGGAGAGGGAUGCGGAAUUCCAGGUGUAGCGGUGAAAUGCGUAGAUAUCUGGAGGAACACCUAUAGCGAAGGCAGCUUGCUGGGACGACACUGACGCUGAGGCGCGAAAGCGUGGGGAGCGAACAGG
rnacentral:rRNA from 1 species